CCCUGUGUCCAAGAAAGCGAAGGUAACCUUCCUAAAUGACUACUGCCCUGUAGCACUCACGUCAGUAGCCAUGAAAUGCUUGGAAAGUCUUGUCAUGGCUCACAUCAACACCAUCAUCCUGGAAACCCUAGAUCCACUCCAAUUCGCAUACCACCCCAACAGAUCCACAGAUGACGCAAUCUCAAUCGCACUCCACACUGCCCUUUCCCACCUGAACAAAAGGAACACCUAUGUGAGAAUGCUGUUCAUUGACUACAGCUCAGCGUUCAACACCAUAGUGCCCACAAAGCUCAUCACUAAGCUGAGGACCCUGGGACUAAACACCUCCCUCUGCAACUGGAUCCUGGACUUCCCGACGGGCCACCCCCAGGUGGUAAGGGUAGGCAACAACACAUCUACCACGCUGAUCCUCAACACGGGGUGCGUGCUUAGUCCCUCCUGUACUCCCUGUUCACCCACGACGACUGCGUGACCAAGCACGACUGCAACACUAUCAUUAAGUUUGUUGACGACACAACAGUGGUCGGCCUGAUCACCGACAACGAUGAGACAGCCUAUAGGGAGAUCAGAGACCUGGCAGUGUGGUGCCAGGAUAACAACCUCUACUUCAACGUGAUCAUGACAAAAGGAGCUGAUCGUGGACUACAGGAAAAGAAUGGCCGAACACACCCCCAUUCACAUCGACAGGGCCGUAGUGGAGCGGGUCGAGAGUUUGAAGUCCCUUGGUGUCUACAUCACCGGCAAAAUAUCAUGGCCCAACCACACCAAGACAGUCGUGAAGAGGGCACGACAACACCUUUUCCCCUCAGGAGAGUGAAAAUAUUUGGCAUGGGUCCCAUUAUCCUCAAAAAGUCCUAGAGCUGCACCAUUGAGAGCAUCCUGACCGGUUGCAUCACCGCCUGGCAUGGUAACUGCUCGGCAUCCAACCGUAAGGCGCAACAGAGGGUAGUACGUACGGCCCACUACAUCACUGGGGCCAAGCUUCCUGCCAUCCAGGACCUAAAUACUACGCGGUGUCAGAGGAAGGCCCAAAACAUUGUCAAAGACUCUAGUCUCCCAAGUCAUAGACUGUUCUCUCUGCUACCACACGGCAAGCAGUACCGGAGCGCCAAGUCUAGGUCCAAAAGGCUCCUUAACAGCUUCUACCCCAAGCCAUAAGACUGCUGAACAAUUAACCAAAUGGCCAACAAGACUAUUUACAUUGACCCCCCCUCGACUAACCUGUACCCCACGCACAUUGACCAAG
rnacentral:lncRNA from 1 species